rnacentral:rRNA from 1 species
AUUGAACGCUGGCGGUAGGCCUAACACAUGCAAGUCGAACGAGUGGCGGACGGGUGAGGAAUAUAUCGGAAUCUACCCUGUCGAGGGGGAUAACGUAGGGAAACUUACGCUAAUACCGCAUACGAUCGUAUGAGCCGAUGUCGGAUUAGCUAGUUGGCGGGGUAAAGGCCCACCAAGGCGACGAUCCGUAGCUGGUCUGAGAGGAUGAUCAGCCACACUGGAACUGAGACACGGUCCAGACUCCUACGGGAGGCAGCAGUGGGGAAUAUUGCACAAUGGGCGCAAGCCUGAUCCAGCCAUGCCGCGUGUGUGAAGAAGGCCUUCGGGUUGUAAAGCCCUUUUGUUGGGAAAGCGGUACCCAAAGAAUAAGCACCGGCUAACUUCGUGCCAGCAGCCGCGGUAAUAC